rnacentral:rRNA from 1 species
GACAGAGGUGCCGAGCGUUAGGCGGAAUCACUGGGCUUAAAGCGUGUGUAGGCGGGUCGUUAAGUGCCUUGUGAAAUCCCACGGCUCAACCGUGGAACUGCUUGGCAUACUGGCGAUCUUGAGCCACUUAGGGGCUACCGGAACCAAUGGUGGAGCGGUGAAAUGCGUAGAUAUCAUUUGGAACGCCAAUGGUGAAAACAGGUAGCUGGGAGUGUGCUGACGCUGAGACACGAAAGCCAGGGGAGCAAACGGG